rnacentral:rRNA from 1 species
GACGAACGCUUGCGGCGUGCUUAACACAUGCAAGUCGAACGGAAAGGCCCUGCUUUUGUGGGGUGCUCGAGUGGCGAACGGGUGAGUAACACGUGAGUAACCUGCCCUUGACUUUGGGAUAACUUCAGGAAACUGGGGCUAAUACCGGAUAGGAGCUCCUGCUGCAUGGUGGGGGUUGGAAAGUUUCGGCGGUUGGGGAUGGACUCGCGGCUUAUCAGCUUGUUGGUGGGGUAGUGGCUUACCAAGGCUUUGACGGGUAGCCGGCCUGAGAGGGUGACCGGCCACAUUGGGACUGAGAUACGGCCCAGACUCCUACGGGAGGCAGCAGUGGGGAAUAUUGCACAAUGGGCGGAAGCCUGAUGCAGCAACGCCGCGUGCGGGAUGACGGCCUUCGGGUUGUAAACCGCUUUCGCCUGUGACGAAGCGUGAGUGACGGUAAUGGGUAAAGAAGCACCGGCUAACUACGUGCCAGCAGCCGCGGUGAUACGUAGGGUGCGAGCGUUGUCCGGAUUUAUUGGGCGUAAAGGGCUCGUAGGUGGUUGAUCGCGUCGGAAGUGUAAUCUUGGGGCUUAACCCUGAGCGUGCUUUCGAUACGGGUUGACUUGAGGAAGGUAGGGGAGAAUGGAAUUCCUGGUGGAGCGGUGGAAUGCGCAGAUAUCAGGAGGAACACCAGUGGCGAAGGCGGUUCUCUGGGCCUUUCCUGACGCUGAGGAGCGAAAGCGUGGGGAGCGAACAGGCUUAGAUACCCUGGUAGUCCACGCUGUAAACGGUGGGUACUAGGUGUGGGGUCCAUUCCACGGGUUCCGUGCCGUAGCUAACGCUUUAAGUACCCCGCCUGGGGAGUACGGCCGCAAGGCUAAAACUCAAAGGAAUUGACGGGGCCCCGCACAAGCGGCGGAGCAUGCGGAUUAAUUCGAUGCAACGCGUAGAACCUUACCUGGGUUUGACAUGGAUCGGGAGUGCUCAGAGAUGGGUGUGCCUCUUUUGGGGUCGGUUCACAGGUGGUGCAUGGCUGUCGUCAGCUCGUGUCGUGAGAUGUUGGGUUAAGUCCCGCAACGAGCGCAACCCUUGUUCACUGUUGCCAGCACGUUAUGGUGGGGACUCAGUGGAGACCGCCGGGGUCAACUCGGAGGAAGGUGGGGAUGACGUCAAGUCAUCAUGCCCCUUAUGUCCAGGGCUUCACGCAUGCUACAAUGGCUGGUACAGAGAGUGGCGAGCCUGUGAGGGUGAGCGAAUCUCGGAAAGCCGGUCUCAGUUCGGAUUGGGGUCUGCAACUCGACCUCAUGACGUCGGAGUCGCUAGUAAUCGCAGAUCAGCAACGCUGCGGUGAAUACGUUCCCGGGGCU